ACAUCCAAGGAAGGCAGCAGGCGCGCAAAUUACCCAAUCCCGACACGGGGAGGUAGUGACAAUAAAUACUGAUACAGGGCUCUUUUGGGUCUUGUAAUUGGAAUGAGUACAAUUUAAAUCCCUUAACGAGGAACAAUUGGAGGGCAAGUCUGGUGCCAGCAGCCGCGGUAAUUCCAGCUCCAAUAGCGUAUAUUAAAGUUGUUGCAGUUAAAAAGCUCGUAGUUGAACCUUGGGCCUGGCUGGCCGGUCCGCCUCACCGCGUGUACUGGUCCGGCCGGGCCUUUCCUUCUGGGGAACCUCAUGCCCUUCACUGGGCGUGUUGGGGAACCAGGACUUUUACUUUGAAAAAAUUAGAGUGUUCAAAGCAGGCCUUUGCUCGAAUACAUUAGCAUGGAAUAAUAGAAUAGGACGUGUGGUUCUAUUUUGUUGGUUUCUAGGACCGCCGUAAUGAUUAAUAGGGAUAGUCGGGGGCAUCAGUAUUCAAUCGUCAGAGGUGAAAUUCUUGGAUUGAUUGAAGACUAACUACUGCGAAAGCAUUUGCCAAGGAUGUUUUCAUUAAUCAGUGAACGAAAGUUAGGGGAUCGAAGACGAUCAGAUACCGUCGUAGUCUUAACCAUAAACUAUGCCGACUAGGGAUCGGACGGUGUUAGUAUUUUGACCCGUUCGGCACCUUACGAGAAAUCAAAGUUUUUGGGUUCUGGGGGGAGUAUGGUCGCAAGGCUGAAAC
rnacentral:rRNA from 1 species